GAUGAACGCUGGCGGCGUGCAUGAGACAUGCAAGUCGAACGAAGGAUCGGGCUUGCUCGAUCCUUAGUGGCGGACGGCUGAGUAACGCGUAGGUGACCUACCCCGAAGUGGGGAAUAACUGCCCGAAAGGGUGGCUAAUACCGCCUGGGGACGCACGUUCAUUCGUGCGAGUAAAGCCGCAAGGCGCUUCGGGAGGGGCCUGCGUCCGAUUAGCUCGUUGGUGGGGUAAUGGCAUACCAAGGCGACGAUCGGUAGGUGGUCUGAGAGGACGACCACCCAGACUGGGACUGAGACACGGCCCAGACUCCGACGGGAGGCAGCAGUAGGGAAUUUUGCGCAAUGGGGGAAACCCUGAAGCAGCAACGCCGCGUGAGGGAUGAAGGCCUUCGGGUUGUAAACCUCUUUUGUCAGGGACGAUGAUGACGGUACCUGGCGAAUAAGCCACGGCUAACUACGUG
rnacentral:rRNA from 1 species